GAAAGAAGACGACUCCUCUCUGCCUCACUGCCUGCAGAGGAAUCUUGGAUUAGUGCAGCAGCCAACAGGAGCCAACACAGACAUGAAAAGUACCAUAAUGCAGCCAAGAUUAAAUACUACAGCUAUGCUGAGGGACAUCUGAGCCAUCUAUGAAAGCAGAAACCCUCAUACGCUGCAAAGCAGGCCAUGGAGCCAGCUGCUGUCUCAGACGCACUCAGGGGACUCUGGCAGGAUGGUUUGGAAAGGAGCAACCUUGGCCCUGAUUCUGCUGAGAUGCUGGCGUGACAGUGGCGGUUGUCCUUUUGACUACAGAAGAGGAAUGUAGUCGCUGGUACAUGCUGUUGCUGGCAGUGGUUGCUAGUGCCUUGGCAGAUGUCAAUAUAUUGGUCCUUGCUUCUGUUUUGAACAGAAAAUUGCAUCUGCUCCCAGAGCUCGUUAUGGUCUGUGUUUAAGGUAACUAUGUACAUAUUGCAGGGAGACUCUGCUAAAUUAGUAGACUUCAUUGGUAGAACUACUAUAAAAGAGAAGUAUCUCAAUGAAAUUAUUUUAUGAUUUGUUUGAUAGGAGAGUCUGUUCCAUGCACACAGCUCUAAAUAACCUAGGGGCUAGAUCUGAAUCUCGUAGGCUAACCUUACGUGAAAGGUUCAGCACCAGCAUGACAACAGAUGAGAAUUCUCCACAUGAGAAGUUUGGGGUGGUACAAGCGGAAGGGACUGCACACAGUGGCCAGGCUCUUGUGCUCCUUCCAUGAGGCAUCUUCUGCUUCUUCUGGGUUGGAUGGAGUAUUGAUCUGAUUCGAUGUGGGAGCUGCUACAUGCAAGCCUCUCAUGCUAAAGGCUCUACUCCUGGAUUCAAGACUAGCUAAACACAUGUAAAUGUUUUGAAGGGCUGGGCUUGAUAUAACACAGUUUAGUGCAGAGUACAAAAUAUAGCACUUUUUAUUUAUCACACCUUUAUAAUUCUUCAGAAGAGGUACUGUAGAAAUCUGUCUAAGAUACCAGCAAUUGUAAUGCAAAGAAUAUGCUCUUAAGCACUCAUAUGGAGUAAAUCUGUCCAUUUGAAAUGCGACUCCAAACAUUUGAGGAAAUUGGGUAGGUGUAUUGAAGCAGAAAACGCUGACAAUUUUGGCAACUUCUAAAAUGCCACUGAGUACAGCAGAAGAGAGUAGAACAGAUUUCUUUUCAGCCAGCAUGUCUUCUUUCUCUCUCUUUCUCGCAGCUGCCUUUGUCUACUGUCUAUGCAAAUACCUAUACUAUAUGCCUCAUGAGUUUUCUGUCCUUUUGUGUAUUUCCUAGAUACUUCAUUAUUCCAGGGAGGUUGUGGAAGUGUUUGUGUGUGUUUGCAUGCACAGUGAACAAUGCCAUGGACUAUUCAUUGGAGUGAUAAAUUGUGUUCAUUCUGAUGUCAGGUACCUCUCAUUGACUUUAGUUUCUUUCCUAUUGGAUAUGUUUAAGAUUAACCAGGCAUUAGUCAUUAAUCAAGGAGGUAUCUGCAAAUAAAUUUUUCAUCAUAA